UACGGAGGGUGCAAGCGUUAUCCGGAUUUAUUGGGUUUAAAGGGUCCGUAGGCGGAUCGUUAAGUCAGUGGUGAGAGCCUACCGCUCAACGGUAGAACUGCCAUUGAUACUGGCGAUCUUGAAUAUGUAUGAAGUUGGCGGAAUGUGUGGUGUAGCGGUGAAAUGCUUAGAUAUCACACAGAACACCGAUUGCGAAGGCAGCUGACUAAUACAUGAUUGACGCUGAGGGACGAAAGUGUGGGGAUCAAACAGG
rnacentral:rRNA from 1 species